rnacentral:rRNA from 1 species
UACGUAGGGUGCGAGCGUUAAUCGGAAUUACUGGGCGUAAAGCGUGCGCAGGCGGUUGUGCAAGACAGAUGUGAAAUCCCCGGGCUUAACCUGGGAAUUGCAUUUGUGACUGCACGGCUAGAGUGUGUCAGAGGGAGGUAGAAUUCCACGUGUAGCAGUGAAAUGCGUAGAUAUGUGGAGGAAUACCGAUGGCGAAGGCAGGCCUCCUGG